rnacentral:rRNA from 1 species
UACGUAGGGCGCAAGCGUUAUCCGGAAUUACUGGGCGUAAAGCGUGCGCAGGCGGUUUUGUAAGCCAGAUGUGAAAUCCCCGGGCUCAACCUGGGAAUGGCAUUUGGGACUGCAAGGCUGGAGUACGGCAGAGGAGACUGGAAUUCCUGGUGUAGCAGUGAAAUGCGUAGAGAUCAUGAGGAAGACCAGUGGCGAAGGCGGGUCUCUGGACAGUUCCUGACACUGAGGCACGAAGGCCAGGGGAGCAAACGGG